AAAUGAACAAAUCAGGAGACUAUAGAUGCUGGCGAGGAUAUGGAGAAGCAGGAACCCUCUUGAGCUGUUGGUGGAAAUGCAAACUGGUGCAGCCGCUCUGGAACUCAGUGUGGAGGUUCCUCAAAAAAUUAAAAAUAGAACUACCCUACGACCCAGCAAUAGCA